UACGUAGGUGGCAAGCGUUGUCCGGAUUUACUGGGCGUAAAGAGCGCGCAGGCGGUCGGAUAAGUCGAAUGUGAAAGCCCCGGCUCAACUGGGGAGGGUCACGCGAUACUGAUCGACUCGAAGGCAGGAGAGGGUAGUGGAAUUCCCGGUGUAGGUGGUAGAAAUGCGUAGAGAUGUGGAGGAACACCAGUGGCGAAGGCGGCUUCUGGUCUGUAACUGACGCUGAGGCGCGAAAGCGUGGGGAGCAAACAGG
rnacentral:rRNA from 1 species